GAUGAACGCUGGCGGCGUGCCUAAUACAUGCAAGUCGAACGCUGGAACUCUAGCUUGCUAGAUUGAAGGAGUGGCGAACGGGUGAGUAAUACAUAAGCAACCUACCCACGAAGACUGGAUAAUCCUUGGAAAAGGGGAAUAAAAACGGGUAGGUUAAUGGAAGGCAUUUUUUUAAUAAUAAAGGGUAAAAACACCGGUGGAUUGGCUUAUGGCGCAUUCGUUAGUUGGUGAGGUUACGGCCCACCAAGACGGUGAUGCGUAGCCGGCCUGAGAGGGUGAACGGCCACAUUGGGACUGAGGCACGGCCCAGACUCCUACGGGAGGCAGCAGUAGGGAAUUUUCAGCAAUGGGGGAAACCCUGACCGAGCAACGCCGCGUGAGUGAUGACGGCCUUCGGGUUGUAAAGCUCUGUUGUAAGAGAAGAACGGUAGAUAGAGAAUAUCUAAAUGACGGUACCUUACUAGAAAGCCACGGCUAACUACGUG
rnacentral:rRNA from 1 species